GAUGAACGCUGGCGGCGUGCCUAAUACAUGCAAGUCGAGCGAAUGGAUUAAGAGCUUGCUCUUAUGAAGUUAGCGGCGGACGGGUGAGUAACACGUGGGUAACCUGCCCAUAAGACUGGGAUAACUCCGGGAAACCGGGGCUAAUACCGGAUAACAUUUUGAACCGCAUGGUUCGAAAUUGAAAGGCGGCUUCGGCUGUCACUUAUGGAUGGACCCGCGUCGCAUUAGCUAGUUGGUGAGGUAACGGCUCACCAAGGCAACGAUGCGUAGCCGACCUGAGAGGGUGAUCGGCCACACUGGGACUGAGACACGGCCCAGACUCCUACGGGAGGCAGCAGUAGGGAAUCUUCCGCAAUGGACGAAAGUCUGACGGAGCAACGCCGCGUGAGUGAUGAAGGCUUUCGGGUCGUAAAACUCUGUUGUUAGGGAAGAACAAGUGCUAGUUGAAUAAGCUGGCACCUUGACGGUAUCUGACCAGAAAGCCACGGCUAACUACGUGCCAGCCGCCGCCGUAA
rnacentral:rRNA from 1 species